GAGUGAGAGGAGAGGAAAAAAGGGGAUGGAUACGGAUCUGAGACUUGGGACCCAUGAGUACAAGCUGGUAGAAAGACGGCCUUCUUUAUAGUGAGGAUUAACUCUGCUUUAGCAAAUUUUUUACUUUGGUUUUCAAACUGGUAAAGUGUCCACUGACAAUGCUGUGAACUAUUUCUUGAUGGGUCUUCUGGUAUCCACAGAAAAUGAGAAUCUGUGGAGGGAAAAUAAUACUUAAUCUGAACGGAAAGAGUCAAAGGUAUGGUCAGUGUUUCAAAAUAGGAGGGUAGAGCUUUUUGCCACUGUGGUCCAUCUCUAGGUUAAGUUUUUCCCCAUUUUGUGAGGAAAACAGAAAAACAAAUAAUCAGUUGCAAAGCAAUAGAAAAUGAGAGCUGAAUCUAGCAUUUAUUGAGCACCUAUUACAUUGUGGGCAGUUUUUAUUCUCAUCAUAUUACAAAGGGAGCUGGGAUUCGGAGAAGUUGAGUAUGUUAUUUGCAGUUACAGGAUUAUUAAGUGAUGAAAUGGGAUUUGAAUCCAGGUUUGGGUUUUUUUUCUGCGUGUAGCCCUCUGCUUCAUGGUUUACUGGCCCAGUGAAAUAAUUACUCUCAUAGGGCAAAAAUAGGACAUAACAGGAGCAUGUCAUGAGGAUUGACCAGCUCUGUCACAGGGAGUCUGGGAAGAUUCUACCCAGGACAUGGUAUCUGAGCUGGUGUUUUGUUUUGUUUUUCUUACUAAGAAAUCCGGAAGGGGUGAUCAGGGCAGAGGAAACACGUGUAAAAAAAAGCAGAGAAAUAUAAAAAAGCUUCACCUGUUCAUAAGCUAAGGUGGCACAUGCAGGAGCCAGACCACAAGGACCUUCAGUCUGUGGACGGUGGAUUUUUAUCCUGGAAGCUGUGGGCAGGCACUGGAUAAUUUUAAGCAGAUUUAAUCAGAUUUGAAUUUCAGGAAAAUCACCUAGUGGUGUAGAGGAAGGAUGGACAGGGAGAGAAAUAUAAGGCAGGAAGACAAGUCAGAGGGUCACUGUGAUUGUUCAGGGGAGAAAUGAUGAGAACCCACACUAAGGAAGUACCAGUGGGGAUUGUGACAGACUCAGAUUCAAAAAGAUAUUACAGUCACACGUCACUAGGGGAUUUUGUCAUUGUGCGAAUGUCGUGGAGUGUACUUGUGCAAAGCUAGACCAUAUAGCCUCUCACACACCUAGAAUAUAUGGUGUCAUUUUUAUGGGACCCCCAUUGUAUAUGUGGUCCGUUGUUGACCAAAACGUCAUUGUGUGGUGCGUGACCACGUGGGGCAUGCUCAGGAGGACUUGGAGACUGGUUGAAACUUGGAUGGUGAGAGAUGAGAGGAAUCUAGGAUGUUGCCUGGUCUCUGAUAAAGGUGAUUGGAGGGAUGGUGGUAUGUGGAAACUGGCUACUCCCGAGUGGUAGAAUCUUAGGGGAUGCAGCUGUGUCCAGAGUUAAGGUUAGAGGGGUUGGAACUAAAUGGGGAAGUCUAAAAUGCAACUAAAUAAUCGUGACUUAUUUGGCAAACUAUGAGGCUGCACCACUUAUUUUGAGGAAAGGUGAAGAAUUCAGGUUAUCCAUUUGCUUAUGUAAUACUUAUCAAAUGCUAAACAGUGUGCUAAGCAAGAAGUCAUGGUGCCUGCUUAGAAUCUACUGGAGGGGACAGAUAAGAGUUCAUUAUAUUGGGAAUCACAAGAUGUUGGAGGUGCUGGAAGGCUUCCAGUUUGGACAUGAAAUCUAAGCUGGACUUAAAGAAUGAGGAAGAGAAAGACUGAAAAAAAGAAAAAGGGAGAUUAGAGCAUUUUAGGCACAGAAAAUAGUGCCAAGACUCAGGGAAGGACAGUGUCAAUGCUGCAGCUCCAUCCUUGCUGACUCCCGGCUAGCGAGGUGUUAAUAAGGAAAGGA
rnacentral:lncRNA from 1 species